AUGAGGGAGGAGGAGGAGCCAAGCUGGUUCGCGCGCUUCGACGAGGACCUGCCGGCGCCGGACGAGCUCAUGCCGCUCUCGCAGUCGCUCAUCACCCGCGAUCUCGCCGCCGCCUUCGACAUCCCCACGCACGGCGGGGGCGGCCCGCUCAGCGGCGGCGCUGACGGCGCGGGCGGCCAGGAGAUGAACGGCGGCGCGUCGUCGGCCGCCGGCUCCAGCGGCGGAAACGGCGGCGGCAACGGGGAGGAGCCGGCCAGGACCCUCAAGCGGCCGCGCCUCGUGUGGACGCCGCAGCUGCACAAGCGGUUCGUCGACGCCGUGGCGCACCUCGGCAUCAAGAACGCCGUGCCCAAGACCAUAAUGCAGCUGAUGAGCGUGGACGGCCUCACGCGCGAGAACGUCGCGUCCCACCUCCAGAAGUACCGCCUCUACCUCAAGCGCAUGCAGGGGCUCGGCAACGGCGGCGGCGGCGGGGGAGGCAGCCACUCCUCCGGCUCCGGGACCGACGCGGCCACCGAGCACCUCUUCGCCACCGGGCCCUCCCCGUUCCUCCCGCCCGGCCGCGGCCCGGCCGUCGCCGACCCUUACACUCCAUACGCCGCCAUGCCCGCCCACCCCGCCGCGCACCACCAUCACCACCACCCGCAGCAGAUCGCCCACUUCCACCACCCCGCCGCGCGCCCGCUCGGCCACUACGGCGCCGGGCCAGGCGGCGGCUUCGACCACGGGUUCCUGAGCCGCGCCGUGGCCAGCGGCGCGCCAGUCGGCCCGCCCGGGAUGCACCACCGCAUGGUCGGCGGCGGGGCCGCGAUGGGGAUGAUGGCGCCGUCGUCUUUCGCCGAGGAGCUGGAGCUCGGGUCCCGCGGCGGCGGCGGCGGCGGCGGGCGCCGGGAGCUGACGCUGUUCCCGACUUCCGGCGAGCACUGA
rnacentral:rRNA from 1 species